GCCCGGGUGGCGAAACUGGUAGACGCAGCAGACUCAAAAUCUGCCGGUGGCAACACCGUGCCGGUUCGAUUCCGGCCCCGGGCACCA
rnacentral:tRNA from 1 species